UUGCCCCCCUGGUUCUGUGUUGCUCUUUGAAUAGAAGUGUUUGCUGAUCUCACCACGGUCUCAUACAUUAACAGGACAAUGUUCUCAACGUGUUAUAGAAGACACACCAACUGUCCUUGGCUUCAGCGUGGAGCCACAGGGUUUUCUGUCACUCAUUGCUUGACUAUCUCAGGUCCAUGCUCCUCUUGACAGCCCUCCCCCUGGUGGUAUAGCACUGUGGUUAAAAGAAGCUAAGUACACAGCAAAGAAAGCCAUCAAGAAAAUGAAAAAGGGUUCCAGACCAGAAUGUUACUUGGAAUGUUUAACCAUCAUUAUCAGAGAAGGCAAUGGCACUCCAGUACUCUUGCCUGGAAACUCCCAUGGACGGAGGAGCCUGGUAGGCUGCAGUCCAUGGGGUCGGUAAGAGUUGUACACGACUUAGCGACUUCACUUUCACUUUUCACUUUCAUGCAUUGGAGAAGGAAAGGGCAACCCACUCCAGUGUUCUUGCCUGGAGAAUCCCAGGGACGGGGGAGCCUGGUGGGCUGCUGUCUAUGGGGUCGCACAGAGUCGGACACGACUGAAGUGACUUAGCAGCAGCAACCAUCAUUAUGGCUUCCCUGGUGGCUCAGAUGGUAAAGAAUCUGCCUGCAGUGCGGGAGACUUGGGUUUGAUCCCUGGGUUGGGACGAUCCCCUGGAGAAGGAAAUGGCAACCCACGCCAGUAUUCUUGCCUGGAGAAUUCUAUGGACAUAGGAGCCUGAUAGGCUGCAGUCCAUGGGAUCUCAGAGAGUCGGACACGACUAAGCGACUAAGCACAGCACAUGGCUCUGGCACCAACUAAUCUGAACAGAUGCUUCACCCCAUAAAAAUGGAGAAAUGGCUGUGAAAAAACUAGAACAGCCAUACCAGUAUGUGCAGACAGAAUAUUAGCCUUCCUUCCAGGGACCCCCACCAACACAGUCUCCCAUAGUGCCUCACUAAAGUAGGCUGAAUGGAUACAUGAAUGGCUUUGAGGAUAGGCUUUUCCUCCUCUGCCUUCAGCACACCUAA
ensembl:lncRNA